CCUACGGGGGGCAGCAGUAGGGAAUCUUCCACAAUGGGCGAAAGCCUGAUGGAGCAACGCCGCGUGAGUGAAGAAGGAUUUCGGUUCGUAAAACUCUGUUGUAAGGGAAGAACAAGUACAGUAGUAACUGGCUGUACCUUGACGGUACCUUAUUAGAAAGCCACGGCUAACUACGUGCCAGCAGCCGCGGUAAUACGUAGGUGGCAAGCGUUGUCCGGAAUUAUUGGGCGUAAAGCGCGCGCAGGUGGUUUCUUAAGUCUGAUGUUAAAGCCCACGGCUCAACCGGGGAGGGUCAUUGGAAACUGGGAGACGUGAGUGCAGAAGAGGAUAGUGGAAUUCCAAGUGUAGCGGUGAAAUGCGUAGAGAUUUGGAGGAACACCAGUGGCGAAGGCGACUAUCUGGUCUGUAACUGACACUGAGGCGCGAAAGCGUGGGGAGCAAACAGGAUUAGAUACCCCUGUAGUC
rnacentral:rRNA from 1 species